UUCCGGGCGGGCGGUCGCCUUGCUGCCGAAGUUUCCUUUCGUGUCGGUGACUUGAAAGUUCCUCGUGAACGAAUUAUGGAUCCAAGCUUACUGAGAGAGCGAGAGCUAUUCAAAAAGCGUGCCCUCUCCACACCCGCAGUAGAAAAACGUCCAGCGCCAUCUUCUGACUCCUCCUCUUCCAAAAAGAAGAAAGCAAAGGUAGAACAAGGUGGCUCAUCAAGCUCAAAACUAAACACAGAUCACAGCAAUGGAUCAUUUAACUUGAAAGCCCUUUCCGGAGGCUCUGGCUACAAGUUUGGAGUCCUUGCUAAAAUAGUGAAUUAUAUGAAGACUCGACAUCAGCGUGGUGAUACACAUCCAUUAACCCUAGAAGAGAUUUUGGAUGAAACACAGCAUUUAGAUAUUGGACUCAAACAGAAACAAUGGUUAAUGAGUGAGGCUCUAGUCAACAAUCCGAAAAUAGAAGUUGUAGAUGGGAAGUAUGCUUUCAAACCCAAGUACAACUUGAAAGAUAAAAAGGCUCUGCUCAGACUCUUGGACAAGCAUGACCAACGAGGGCUGGGAGGUAUCCUUUUAGAAGAUAUUGAGGAAGGGCUACCCAAUGCACAGAAAGCUAUAAAGGCUUUAGGGGACCAGAUCAUCUUUGUUAAUCGCCCUGAUAAGAAGAAAAUUCUCUUCUACAAUGACAAGAGCUGUCAGUUUACGGUGGAUGAAGAAUUUCAGAAGCUGUGGAGGAGCAUUCCCGUGGAUUCUAUGGAUGAGGAGAAAAUUGAAGAGUAUCUGAAACGACAGGGUAUUUCUUCCAUGCAAGAAACUGGACCAAAGAAAAUAGCUCCUAUUCAGAGGAGGAAGAAACCAGCUUCUCAGAAGAAACGUCGAUUUAAGACUCACAAUGACCACUUGGCUGGAGUAUUAAAAGAUUACUCCGAUGUCGUUCCUGGCAAACAGUGACGGGCUGAAUUCUGGAGUAAACGUGCAUUUUUAUACAGGCUUUUUGCCACUCGGGCUCAGUGUCUGCUCGCAGAAAGACUGACUGUAUAUAGUAAUGUGAUGUGUUUCCCCCAUCCCAGCAACUGCCGAGAUGAAACAGGUCAGCACAAGCAAUUCCUCUUGGAGCUUUUUAGUUUUCUGUUACAGCUCUGCUUUAAAGCACCCACGGUACACUUGCAAAACUAUUCACCUCUCUUCUGUCAUCUUCACUCAAAAAAAAAAAAAGGUUCCCUUCCAUCUGCUGCAUUUUUGAGCAGUGAUUUUUUGGGUGGUAGGACUCAGACAAAAGCAGAGCUCUUAGUGAGCUCUGAGUUUCCUUUCAUACCUUUGGGGUGUUUUAUGGGGUAACUUCCCAGUCAUCUUACCUAGCAUUACCUUUUCUCUAUGAACCAAAGCUUGCAAAGUGGACCAUAAGGUAGGCUACCUGUUUUGUUUCUCUGCUCAAGUAAUUAAGAUAAUAGGGGAUUCUAAAGAAAAUGCCUCCAGCUACUUUCAAAGAUGAAAAAUAUGUUAGGUCAGAAAAUAGGAGAGCAGGAAAGAAAGACUGACUGCUGGCUCUGCAUGCUGUGCUGGCAUUGUCAGGCUCCAAUGUUCAAAGAAACAAAACGAUCCAGUUGAUGUGCAGUUGGAAAGACUGGAUUAGAUGCUUUGUCUCACUGGAGAAAGUCUUCUCUGCUGUACUAGCAGAGAGGGCAUGAUGAGUUUUACAGAUUGUUAGGGUACAGACUCAAAAAUAGCUGAAGGGAUGCUCACACUGGCCUGUUAGAGGUGAUAUGGAAUAUCGACAAGCAGUCGUGAAGAAAACAAGUUCAGAAAAUAAGCAUGAGCUCCUCUCUUUUGUGUGGGUUUCAGGAGUUGGGUUUUGUUUCUCUGUCAAAGAUGCUCUCAGCAUUCCUUACGUUUUUUUUUCCAAGACCUCUUACAAAUCAAAUGGUACAACUUGAAAACGUCUCAGACUGUAUCAAUGGGAGUCUGUUUGUUGAAACCAUUUUAGUACCGCUCCAGUCCACUUCAGUCUCUUCACAGCAUAAUAUCCAAAUCAGGCUUUUCAAUGAAGUUCAGCAUAAGAGUUCACAGCUGUUAAAAUCUUAAACCUAAUUCCUCUUCUUCCAAGGUAUUCUCAUGUAUUUUGUGUCUGGCAAGAUGGUUCUCCCAGUGGCCAAAACCAUCAUGCUUUCAGUUCACUGUCUUUGGCAAAAUCCUUCUUCCCUCAGUCUGGCAGUGCCAAGGGCUGCUGAGAGGCAUCAUGCUCUCUCCAGGGGGCUGUGGGCCUCUUACUCCAUUUUUCUUUUCAUUCUCUGGAAGCAUCUGCGCUAACCAGGAGGAUAAGGGGACUCGGGCUGCCCUUGACAAAGACAGAACAUAGAAUAGAUUUCAGUUGGAAUGGACCUACAAUGAUCAUCUAUUCCAUGGCAGGCACCUUUGUUUCAUGCAUUUCAGGAAGGCUCUUUGGCAAACCCAUCUCAAUGCGGUAUUUACCUGUCCGAGCCAGGUGAGGACUGGCCGUUUCCACUCUCCUGAGGCUUCUCGGGUGAUGCAUGUUCCCUUAGCUCCGGGAUUCGGUGUGUCAGUCCUGACAGGGCUGUCGUUUGAGCCUUUCUAAUCUUCUGGGGUGGUGGAGGAAUGCAGGCACUGAUGAGCAGUUCUUCUGAUGCAGCAUCCUUCUCUUCUUGCCCUGCCCUAUCAGCCAGGAGCAGAGAGACAUCCAGCUCCCACCCCUGGUGAUGCUGAUGGACAUACAGACAGGGCUCUGGGGAAAAGACAAAUGCUCUUUCUCAGUGAUGAAAGCUCUCUGAGCUAUAUCUUAGCUGUCUUAGAUUAUCCUUUUGCUUGCACGAUUACAUCUUGAGCCUGUGGCUGUGAGGACAGUAUCUGCAGCGGUUGCUAGAGCUAUUCCCAAGAGAACACAGUUCUCGAGGUCUGCAAGCAGAGACAUGCACUCAGGCCUCUUGGAUGCUCAGUAUUACACUAGUUCAUCUUGUUGGGAGAGAGUUGUGCCAGUUUCACUGUGAUGAAACUGGAAGGAGGGAGCUGGUGGGGUAAGCAGGGUCACAUCACUGAUAGCUUUUCCUCUCUAGCUGGGUGUUGCUGGUCUAGGAUUUGCUUCUGAAAAGGUAACCUCAUAGGUUAUGUCAGCAAACAUGCCUGUGGGGAUGGGGGGCUGCACUGGCCCUUCAGGAGGAGCUCAUUAGGACUUCUUUGUGUCUAUGUGAAUGAGACCUUUUAUUUUGUCUGUUCCUCCUCACCCCCAAAAUAAAAGCACUCUUGUUUUUUGAAAGUACAAGCUGAAUAGCCCAUGGGUGUCACAUCUCUAAAGACAGAGCUCUACUGGCUUCUCUCCUGAAAGUUGCUCUAACUGAAGAGUUAUUCCACCUCCUCCUCGAUUACGAUGAUCAUUCUGGAAGGGGAUGGAAAACAGCAGGAUUUUGUAUGGUUGAAUGAGAAAACUGACAUAAGGCAGUGUGUACCAGAGCUAAUCUAUAAUUCAUCAUGAUCAUUCAAGGCUUUUAGAGAGCAGAGGAGAGAGAGGCAAAGGAGCCCUGACAAAUGGUAUAAAGACCCUGCACGUGGAUGUAGCCAGCGAGGGCUGUCACUUCUGAUGAGCAUGGGCAGGCGGUGCGGGGCCACCAGGGAGAGCUGGGCUCCCGGUACCUGCUGCUGAGGAGGGGCUUGCAUUUGCAGACGACUAGAAGCAACUCUGGUACUGACGUCUCAUUAUUUCCAGCUUGGUUGCUUGCUUUCCGGUCGCUGCUAAUGUACCAGGCCCAAAUUCCUUUGUGUGUUACUGCCUUGGGGGCCUCUGGCAGCUACUGCAUCUGGGGGAGAAUGUCCAGUAGAGUUGAGUGCUUAGUCUUGACUGGUUAAGACCAUCAAGGCUAACCACUAACAUCAGGGAGAGGAGAGUUCAGACCCCAUUCUGCUGGGUACUGGCUUUCCGGUGCUGGUAAAGUCAGGGAUAUGGCUGGAUUGUUGAGGCCUGCUGCCAAGUUAUCAGUAAGAGAGGGAUCAGACUGAAAACAGUGUUCCCAGCCACCUCAGGUAGCUGGCACUGCUACAGCCCUGCCCACUCUGGCUCUAGAGAUGCUUGCAGAAGGCAGUGUCAUGCCAGCUGAGAGCCCUGGGCCGGCAUUUUGUUGUAACGCAGAAGGCCAGGUGGUUUGGGGAUCAAUCUCCUCCCAGGGGAGAGAGGGGCUGCUUCUCGGGUCUGUUGUUCUGGCUCCAUAGGUGUGUUCCUAACCAUGUCUGUCU